GAAUAUUUCUAGCUUUAAAUAUCCUCCAGGAAAGAACUUGAAUACCUAAUCCAUGACUAUCUGAAAUCCAAACCAAUCAUAUUGAUUAAGGAAAGAGGAAGAGAGUAGGGAGAAGAGGUCCUGAAUUCCUGUUGAUGGUAAUAAGAAUCAGGCAUGGAGAUCAAGAGGUUUCUAGUGGGAUCCUACAGGGGUCAGUCCUGAGUCCAGUACUAAUCAUUAUUUUCAUUAAUGACUUUGAUAAUGUGGUGGAGAAUAUGCUUAUAAAAUUUACAUAUGACACCAACCCGGGAGAGG